UCCUUUUCAGGCGCACAGCAACAAGCAUGUGUGAAUAAUGAGAGCUCAUCCAUCACAUCAGUUGAACAUGAAUUGAAAAGCCAGUGAAGACAAAAAAGAUGUAAGUUCCAUAAAAAAUAUAGAUUAAAUAAUUAAGUUGCUUGAUCAUGAAUUUGUAAUAUUGUAUAAAAAUAGAUUUUAUGCAAAUAAUUUUUAUCUUAACAUAAAUUUUACAACAUAUUAGAAAUAAUGACCUCAGAAUACAUUUUACUGGCCAAGGGCUCGUGGUCUAAUGCUAAUUUGUAUCCCUUUUAUAUUUACACAAAUGUAUGUUAAACAUGUUAAAAACAAGCGCUGUUUGUAAAACAUGCAUGCCCCCCAUAUGGGCUGUCAGUUGUAGUGGCAGCCUUGUGUGAAUACGUUUUUUGGCACUGUGACCUUGACCUAGUGACCUGAAAAUCAAUAGGGGUUAUCUGCGAGUCAUGAUCAAUGUACCUAUGAAGUUUCAUGAUCCUAGGCGUAAGCUUUCUCGAGUUAUCAUCCGGAAACCAUUUUACUGUGUCAAGUCACCGUGACCUUUGACCUAGUGACCUGAAAGUAAAUAGGGGUCAUCUGCGAGUCAUGAUCAAUGUACCUAUGAAGUUUCAUGAUCCUAGGCAUAAGCGUUCUUGAGUUAUCAUCCGGAAACCAUUUUACUAUUUCGGGUCACCUUGACCUUUGACCUAGUGACCUGAAAAUCAAUAGGGGUCAUCUACAAGUCAUUUUCAAUGCACCUAUGAAGUUUCAUGAUCCUAGGCAUAAGAGUUCUUGAGUUAUCAUCCGGAAACCAUUUUACUAUUUCCGGUCACCGUGACCUUGACCUAGUGACCUCAGAAUCAAUAGGGGUCAUCUGCGAGUCAUGAUCAAUGUACCUAUGAAGUUUCAUGAUCCUAGGCCUAAGCGUUCUUGAGUUAUCAUCCGGAAACCAUCUGGUGGACGGACAUACGGACGGACGGACCGACAUGUGCAAAACAAUAUACCCCCUCUUCUUUGAA